GGUCCUGACUAGCUCAACUGGUAGAGCAUGGCAUUAAAGUUGCCAGUGUUAGGGGUUUGAUUCCCACUAGGAUCA
rnacentral:tRNA from 1 species